rnacentral:rRNA from 1 species
UGAGGAAUAUUGGUCAAUGGGCGAGAGCCUGAACCAGCCAAGUCGCGUGAGGGAAGACGGUCCUAUGGAUUGUAAACCUCUUUUGCCGGGGAGCGAAGAGCGGUACGUGUACCGCGCCGAGAGUACCCGGAGAAAAAGCAUCGGCUAACUCCGUGCC